GACGAAGGGGGCUAGCGUUGUUCGGAAUUACUGGGCGUAAAGCGCGUGUAGGCGGUUGCCCAAGUCGGGUGUGAAAGCCUUGAGCUCAACUCAAGAAAUGCACUCGGUACUGGGUGACUAGAGGACCGGAGAGGAUAGUGGAAUUCCCAGUGUAGUGGUGAAAUACGUAGAGAUUGGGAAGAACACCAGUGGCGAAGGCGGCUAUCUGGACGGUUUCUGACGCUAAGACGCGAAAGCGUGGGGAGCAAACAGGAUUAAGAAACCCUGAG
rnacentral:rRNA from 1 species